rnacentral:rRNA from 1 species
ACAGGGUGCUGCAUGGCUGUCGUCAGCUCGGUGUCGUGAGAUGUUGGGUUAAGUCCCGCUAACGAGCCGCAACCCUGCAUCCAGUUGCCAUCGGGCGAGCCGGGCGACUCUGGAGGGACUGCCGGCGACAAGACCGGAGGAAGGUGGGGAUGACGUCAAGUCAUCAUGGCCCUUACGGCCUGGGCUACACACGUGCUACAAUGGUCGGUACAAAGGGUUGCCAAGCCGCGAGGUGGAGCUAAUCCCAUAAAACCGAUCGUAGUCCGGAUCGCAGUCUGCAACUCGACUGCGUGAAGUCGGAAUCGCUAGUAAUCGUGAAUCAGAAUGUCACGGUGAAUACGUUCCCGGGCCUU